AUGGAAAAAAACAAAAGCCCUGGACCUGAUGGAUUACCAGUAGACUUUUACCAACAUUUUUGGGAUGUGGUCAAAUGGGAUUUGAUGAAACUUCUUAAUGAGUUCCAUGAAGGGAAACUAGACAUAUCUAGGCUAAACUAUGGGAUCAUUACUUUGGUGCCAAAAACUGAUGAUGCUAAACAGAUUCAAAAUUUUAGACCUAUAUGUCUAGGGUUAAUUAUCCUUUUGCCCUUAGUGGUGUCCAUGUGCUCAGUUUUGCCCUCAGAUGCGAAUUGUCCUCAGUUUUGCCCCUAG
rnacentral:rRNA from 1 species